CUUGAAGCAGAAACAACGAAACAAGAAAUCCACGUUUGCCGCCAUUGACAUUUGAAAACAUUUUUAUUUGGUCAAUGGUUUUAAAUACAAAAAAACUAUGCAUCCAGUAUAUAAUGCCUUAUGUAUUUCCAUCGUGUAUUUAACAUUAGCAGGCCAAAACUCGGAGUCUAAGGUUAUGUACUCAAAUAUAAUGUGCCAGAUACCAACCAAGUUUAAAUACGUCUUCUACAGAGCGAUAUUCGUGGAGAAACUGAUCUACUUGCCCUGCGAGGACGAGGUGGUCAUGCGAGGGACAAUCAACUACUCAAUCAUCGCUCCGUGCAUGAGGAACAAGAGCGUGACGUUUUACGGCGAGAAGAAAGGGGUCGGCACCAAGGGGGCGAGUAUCAUAGCCAUUACGACAUACUGUUUAUUGCGCUAGGACUGAGAGUGGUAACAUAAGGGUGGUAACGUCCUCUAACAAGACUGCUCUGUUCCUGAUCACCCGUGAAGGGAAGAACGAAACGGAGACGUUUACUUGCACAGUGGACGCCAAAAUAGUCGAUGGUUACACAGUCCUUUUGAAAUUCGGACCCCAGUACGGUUUAAGCCUUGGACGUCUGUUUAUUAGGCCUCCUGCGAAUGAAACCAACAAGUGCCGAACACGGUUCCAAAGAAGCUCCGAGGUGAAAAUUACAAACUGUGGCUUCUACAUCUACCUGCUACUGAUAUCAGCCUUGCUUUUGAUGAGUGGUACCAUCUCCAUAUCUGAUCUCUAAGAUAGGCUGACCUCGAUGUGAGCCGUGCUCUCCAGACUCGCUAAAUGUUAAUGUUACUUUCAUCAUAUCUGUUCUCAAAGAAAAACUGACUAUCACGUGAACCAAACUUCAUUGGCACAAAGUGAACUUGUGGAACAUAAUAUGACAUCCGUCUUAGAGGAAUGUAAAAACAUCUUGCUGACAUAAAAAAAAAAAAAUUCAUACACAUUCUAUCUA